rnacentral:rRNA from 1 species
CCCUUAGACGUUCUGGGCCGCACGCGCGCUACACUGACCAGUGCAACAAGCAUCCGUCCUUGGCCGACAGGCCCGGGCAAUCUUUGAACGCUGGUCGUGAUGGGGAUAGACUUUUGCAAUUUUUGGUCUUCAACGAGGAAUUCCUAGUAAACGCAAGUCAUCAACUUGCAUUGAUUACGUCCCUGCCCUUUGUACACACCGCCCGUCGCACCGACCGAUUGAAUGGUCCGGUGAAGCCUCCGGAUUGGCGCGCACCUCGGUGCCGCCGAGAAGUUGGCUAAACCUUACCAUUUAGAGGAAGGUGAANUCGUANCA